rnacentral:rRNA from 1 species
GAACGAACGCUGGCGGCGUGCUUAACACAUGCAAGUCGAACGCGAAAGGGACUUCGGUCCUGAGUAAAGUGGCGCACGGGUGAGUAACGCGUAGAUAACCUGUCUUCAUGUCUGGAAUAAUACGCCGAAAGGGGUACUAAUACCGGAUAUUCUUGCUUUUCAUAAGUUAUGCAAGCAAAGGUGGCCUCUGCAUAUGCUACUGCAUGAAGAGGGGUCUGCGUACCAUUAGCUAGUAGGUGGGGUAAUGGCCUACCUAGGCGACGAUGGUUAGCGGGUCUGAGAGGAUGAUCCGCCACACUGGCACUGGAACACGGGCCAGACUCCUACGGGAGGCAGCAGUGAGGAAUAUUGCGCAAUGGGGGAAACCCUGACGCAGCGACGCCGCGUGAGUGAGGAAGGCCUUCGGGUCGUAAAGCUCUGUCAAGAGGAAAGAAGUGUACAAUGGCUAAUACCUGUUGUAUUUGACGGUACCUCUAAAGGAAGCACCGGCUAACUCCGUGCCAGCCGCCGC